rnacentral:lncRNA from 1 species
UUUUCCCUUUUCUGCCUCUUUUCCCUUUUCACGUGAAAAUAACCUUUUUACCAAAAAUGGGAUUUUUCUCAAUUCCAAUUUAUAUAUAUUUUCCGAAUAAUAAUAAUAAUCCAAAAAUAAUAAUAAUAAAAUUUCCAAUUAUUUAAUUAAAUUAAUAAAUAAAUUAUUAACCCAAUUUAAAUAAUUAUUUUAUUAUUAUCGGGGUGUUACA